rnacentral:rRNA from 1 species
CUGGUAGUCCCCCCCCGUAAACGAUGUCGAUUGGAGGUUGUUUCCUUGAGGAGUGGCUUCCGGAGCUAACGCGUUAAAUCGACCGCCUGGGGAGUACGGCCGCAAGGUUAAAACUCAAAUGAAUUGACGGGGGCCCGCACAAGCGGUGGAGCAUGUGGUUUAAUUCGAUGCAACGCGAAGAACUUUACCUACUCUUGACAUCCAGAGAACUUUCCAGAGAUGGAUUGGUGCCUUCGGGAACUCUGAGACAGGUGCUGCAUGGCUGUCGUCAGCUCGUGUUGUGAAAUGUUGGGUUAAGUCCCGCAACGAGCGCAACCCUUAUCCUUUGUUGCCAGCGGUUCGGCCGGGAACUCAAAGGAGACUGCCAGUGAUAAACUGGAGGAAGGUGGGGAUGACGUCAAGUCAUCAUGGCCCUUACGAGUAGGGCUUACACACGUGCUACAAUGGCGCAUACAAAGAGAAGCGACCUCGCGAGAGCAAGCGGACCUCAUAAAGUGCGUCGUAGUCCGGAUUGGAGUCUGCAACUCGACUCCAUGAAGUCGGAAUCGCUAGUAAUCGUAGAUCAGAAUGUUACGGUGAAUACGUUCCCGGGCCUUGUACACACCGCCCGUCACACCAUGGGAGUGGGUUGCAACAAGAAGUAGGUAGCUAACCUUCGGGAGGGCUAGAACCGACCAUGGAUCCAUCACAUUUGC